CCUACGGGAGGCAGCAGUGAGGAAUAUUGGUCAAUGGGCGCGAGCCUGAACCAGCCAAGUAGCGUGAAGGAUGACUGCCCUACGGGUUGUAACCUUCUUUUAUAAAGGAAUAAAGUGAGGCACGUGUGCCUUUUUGUAUGUACUUUAUGAAUAAGGAUCGGCUAACUCCGUGCCAGCAGCCGCGGUAAUACGGAGGAUUCGAGCGUUAUCCGGAUUUAUUGGGUUUAAAGGGUGCGUAGGUGGUUUGUUAAGUCAGUUGUGAAAGUUUGCGGCUCAACCCUAAAAUUGCAAUUGAUACUGGCAGUCUUGAGUACAGUUGAGGUAGGCGGAAUGUGUGGUGUAGCGGUGAAAUGCUUAGAUAUCACGAAGAACUCCGAUUGCGAAGGCAGCUUACUAAACUGCCACUGACGUUGAUGCUCGAAAGUGUGGGUAGCAAACAGGAUUAGAUACCCUUGUAGUC
rnacentral:rRNA from 1 species